GACAAAAGGAAAAAUCGAUAUUAGGUUCAUAGGUUGUUCACGCUGCUAUGCCUUGGAUUGUUCACAAAUCUUCUUGUUGUAAUAAUACAAUCUGCUUGUUAUCUAUGAAUUCAGAGAUGUGAAGUAGCCCUUAGUUAGACUUCAAGAAAUACAAGCUGGACUUCAUCUUUAUUGAUCUGAAAGUUAUCAAUGGGCGCUAUAUUGAGUGUAAAUAGUUUGAGGACUGUAGCUAGUGAGGUAUAUGAAGUUUCACUCUGUG
rnacentral:misc_RNA from 1 species